AACCAUUCUCACCUGCGGCUAGACCUGCGGAAGGAUCAUUACACAAUACAAUAUGAAGGCUGUCCGCAGCUGGAGUAUUUUAUUACCCUUGUCUUUUGCGCACUUGUUGUUUCCUGGGCGGGUUCGCUCGCCACCAGGACCACCAAAUAAACCUUUUUUAUGCAGUUGCAAUCAGCGUCAGUACAAACAAUGUAAAUCAUUUACAACUUUCAGCAACGGAUCUCAGAUCGGAAGAGCACA
rnacentral:misc_RNA from 1 species